rnacentral:rRNA from 1 species
AGAGUUUGAUCCUGGCUCAGGAUAAAUGCUGGCGGCGUGCUUUAGGCAUGCAAGUGGAACGAGUCGCCUUCGGGCGACGAGUCGCGAACGGCUGAGUAACACGUAGGAAUCUACCCCAUGGUGUGGAAUACCCUCGAGAAAUCGAGGCUAAUACCGCAUAACAUCUCCGGAUAAAAGGGCAUAACUGCUCGCCGAGGGAGGAGCCUGCGGCCCAUCAGCUUGUUGGUAGGGUAAUGGCCUACCAAGGCUUCAACGGGUAGGGGGCGUGAGAGCGUGUACCCCCAGAAUGGCACUGAGAUACGGGCCAUACACCUACGGGUGGCAGCAACCGGGAAUCGUGCGCAAUGGACGAAAGUCUGACGCCGCGACGCCGCGUGAGGGAUUAAGGCCUGUGGGUCGUAAACCUCUUUUGACGUAAGGGAGACCUUACGUAGAAUAAGCACCGGCUAACUACGUGCCAGCAGCAGCGGUGAUACGUAGGGUGCAAGCAUUGUCCGGAUUUAUUGGGCGUAAAGCGUUUCGUAGGCUGUUUUUUAAGUCGUGCUUUAAAUACCAGAGCUUAACUCUGGACAGGGGCGCGAUACUAACUAACUAGGAUGAUUUCGGGGCUACUGGAACUGUCGGUGUAGGGGUGAAAUCCGUUGAUAUCGACAGGAACACCGAGGGCGUAGGCAGGUAGCUAGGAAUAUAUCGACGCUGAUGAACGAAAGCUAGGGUAGCGAAAGGGAUUAGAGACCCCUGUAGUCCUAGCCGUAAACGAUGCUCGCUAGGGGUUGGUAGUUUACUAUCAGUCCCGUAAGCUAACGCGUUAAGCGAGCCGCCUGGGGAGUACGACCGCAAGGUUAAAACUCAAAGGAAUUGACGGGGACCUGCACAACCAGUGGAGCAUGUGGUUUAAUUCGAGACAAACCGAAGAACCUUACCUGGGUUUGACAUGCUAGCUGCACGCCGACAGAAAUGUUGGUUUCUUCGAGAGUGCUAGCACAGGUGCUGCAUGGCUGUCGUCAGCUCGUGCCGUGGGGUGUUCCCUUCAGUGGGGUAACGAGCGCAACCCCUGUCAUAUGUUGAAUGUUCAUAUGAGACUACUCGCACAAGUUGCGGGAGGAAGUGGGGACGACGUCAAGUCAGCAUGGCCCUUAUAUCCAGGGCGACACACAUGCUACAAUGGGGCCGACAAUGGGUUGCCAAGUGGUAACACGGAGCUAAUCCCAUCAAACGGCCUCUCAGUUGGGAUUGAGGGCUGAAACUCGCCCUCAUGAACGUGGAAUUGGUAGUAAUCGCGGAUCAGCCAAGCCGCGGUGAAUACGUUCUCGGGUCUUGUACACACCGCCCGUCAAGUCAGCAAAGUUGGGGGCACCCGAACCUCGAUUGAAUCGGGGGAAGGUGAAACCAGCGAUGAGGAUUAAGUCGUAACAAGGUAACC